CUAUGCCACCUUGCUCCCGGCCGAAUAAACUUAUUCCUCCUGUAUUCGGUGUCCGAGAGAUCCAUUUCCCACGGCCGCUCCUGCUACAAUACAUUGACAAGAAUGAGGAAAAAUAUAUCGUGCCCAGUGAAAUAAGAAAUAAACAAGCUUAGGUGAACUUAGAAGGAAGGAAAAAAAGGCUGGAGUCAAAUCUGAAGUGUCUCUCUCACGCUUUCCUCCAGGAAAACAGGAUAUAAAGGCCAAUGCAACACAUAAGAUCAAUGUGCGGCUAGAACUUCAGCAUGGUGGUGUGAGUCAGCUUUGGAUCUUGCAGAUGAGACCAUUCAGAGGGACGGGAGAGCAGCAAGACAGAAGGAACAUGGGUGCUAGGCUGACCUCAAGAAGCUGUGCUCCCCCUCAUGCUGGAUGGCCUACUUACCUGGGUACUGUCAUAUGAAAAGGAAAUACACAUACCUAGUUUGAA